GCUGUGGAAGCUUGGAGUCCUAACAACUGGAUCACCAGAGAAUUCCCCAGGAUGGUUCAGCAGCAUCAGGGUCUUUGCAUCAGGUGGCCAAAGUAUUGGAUAAGAAACCAUGACAGGCACCAAGCAGAAGAUGAAAUUAAAUGACUUUCCAAGCCAGAGAUUCUGAGAUUCCACAUCCUGAGGUUCUAAAGUGUGAAGAGUUGAAAGCUGUGUGAUUGUAAAGUUUCAGGAUGAUGUCUUCUUUCCUGUGGGGAAUGAGGUCUGCCAGCAACUUCAGGAACUGCUCAUCCUCAUAGUCAAAGCGACUUCCAAAGACGACGGAACUGAUGACGUUGGAGACAGUGCGGCUCAGGAAGAAAGGGGCACAGGUUCGAUCCCUGGUCUGGGAAGAUUCCACGUGCUGAGAAGCCGCUAAGCCAAUGCCCCACAGCUACUGAGCCUGAGUGCUCUAGAGCCUGAGAGCUACAACCACUGAUCCUGUGCGCUGCAACUACUGAAGCCCUCUCGUCAAGAGCCUGUGCUCUGCAAUGAGAAGCCCACACACCACAACGAAGAGUAACCCCUGCUCGCUGCAACUAGAGACAGCCUGCACAGAAAUGAAGAACCAGCGCAGCUAAAAAUAUUAAAAAAGAAGAAAAAAAAAGAAGUGAACUGUCCUGGAGAGUCACAGAGUUUUGGAAAGAAGUGGAGUUUCGCUCUAUUGAAGCCAGUUCUCCACGGCCACUGAACUCAUCUGCUCGGUCAACCAGGGCCUCCUUCACUGCUUCAUGUCCACAUAAAACAACCACUGGCCGGGGACCCAUGUACACGGUGAAGACUGGACCAUAUUUCUCCUUGAGCUGAGUGAAGGAAGACAUAAGAGGAGGUGGCUGAUUGCAGUACUAAGUGACAACAAGUCAAGGAUUUUAGGAGAUGGCAAUUUCAAGGAACAUGGGAAUAACAGAUAAAAUUGAGUCCUGGGCUUGGAAAGCCUACUGAUAAAGAGACACAGAAGUCUUGGCUUCUGUGAUCCUGGGCAAGAUCCCCCAAUGCUGCUACAAGCCUUGGUUUCCGCAUCUGUAAAACAGUGGACCUAGAUGAGAUGGAAUUCCAAGAUCCGUGUGUCUCGUCCUGAAGUACUGCCUUUUCUAGAAUAAUCCUAAGAUUUCAUGAUACUGAGUCAAAGUCUGAAGACCAACAGAGUGCAAGAGUUCUUGUGUCUAAGGAUAGAAGGUACUGUUUAUUCCAGGGACUUGCCUGGAGGCCCCAUGGUUAAGACUUUAUGCAAGGGGUGCAUGCGGGUUUGAUCCCUGUUCAGGGAACUAGGAUCCCACAUGCCUUGUGGCCAGAAAACCAAAACAGAAAAACAGAAUCAAUAUUAUAAUAAAUUCAACAAUGACUUUAAAAAUGGUCCACAUUGAAAAAACUCUUUAACAAGUAGUGCAAUGCAACAUAUUUUUCUUUUUAAAGAAGAAGUUACUGUUAUUCCAAAGUCCUGAAGGUCUUAAGUUUCAAUGUGCUAGGAGUCUGUGUUUCCAAGAGUUUAAGAUUCUGGAAUUCCAGAAAUCUAAGGUUAUGUUUCCAAGAGCCUUUGUUAUAGAAUUCAGAAAUUUCUACACUAUCUCCCUAUAGAAUGAGUUGCUUCUAGCUGUGUGAAAGUAGACAGACUCACCUUCAUGAAAGACUGAAAAGUGGCAUCAGUACGAACUUGCAACACGUUCCCCAGGAAAGGGAUCGGUGUGGGACCAGGCGGCAGCUUUCCCCCUUUGCUCAUCCGUUUCCAGGCGAUGAGGAUGAGAAGAUAAGACAAGCAGAGUGCUAGAAAGAUGGUGAAGGCCCCUCCCAGCUCCAUGGUGCCAGGUCGAAGGACUGUGCCCAGGGCACCAGAUCCUACCUAAAUACAUCCUGGGAAAUCGACUCUGCAGAAAUCUGAACACCCUGGGAUUCAAGUUUUCUGGAAUGUGAAGAUCACCAGGAUGGACACAUGGCAAACAGGAAGAGGCUGCAGACCUCUCAGAUCUCCAUGUAACCAGGAAGAAGGAAUUGACCUUGGCCAUGGGCCCUGGCUACAAAGAUCCUGGGACUCAGCUUCUUCGGUAACCUGAAACUGCAGACCUCUCAGAUCACCAUGUAACCAGGAAGAAGGAAUUGACCUUGGCCAUGGGCCCUGGCUACAAAGAUCCUGGGACUCAGCUUCUUUGGUAACCCGAACACCUUCAGAUUAAAUUUCCUGGGGGUUGGAUCUCACUUGGGAGCUUACCAUGCUUCGGAGUUUAUAUAACUUCUAGUCCUUCCUCUGAAUGACCAUUGAGUGCCGAGCUCAUGAGGCGGUUCUCUCCACUUUGUCCCUUCAGUCCCCUCCUCAUUCAUGUCCACACACUCCAAUUUUAUCCUUUGAGAGCAUGGAGGGCUUCCCUGGUGUCUCAGACAGUAAAAAAUCUGUCUGUGAUGCAGGAGACCCAGGUUCAAUCCCUGAGUUGGGAAGAUCCACUGGAAGAGGGAAUGGUAAUCCACUCUAGUAUUCUUGCCUGGAGAAUCCCAUGGACAGAGGAGCCUGACAGGAUACAGUCCACGGGGUCACAAAAAUUCAGACAUGACUGAGAGACUGACACUUUCAUUCUUCUGGGUUUUAGAACAGUCUGAGUUUUGGAAGCUGAGUCCCAGGAUCUUUGUAGAAUCAGGAAGAACCAGGUUCAAGUCUGGCCUCUACAGCGUUCUUUCCUUCUUUUCUUUGCUGUGCCACAGGGCAUAUGGGAUCUUAGUUCUCUGGCCAGGGAUUGAACCCACGCCCCCUACAUUGGAAGGGUAGACUCUUAAACACUGGACCACCAAGGAAGUCCCAUCUCUGCAAAUUUCCUGGUGCAUGUGAUCUUGAACAAGACACCUCAUUUCUUUGUACCUCUGUUUUCUCAUUUCUGAAAAAUGAUAAUACCAAUAAAAGUACCUCCCUGAGACUUCUCUGGUGGUCCUGGAAUUGGCUCUUUCACUGCUGGGGUCUGGCACAGUCACUAAAAAAAAAAAAAGUACCUCCCU